UACGUAGGGUGCAAGCGUUGUCCGGAUUUACUGGGCGUAAAGAGCGUGUAGGCGGCCAAGCAGGUCCGUUGUGAAAACUGGAGGCUUAACCUCCAGACGUCGACGGAAACCGCGUGGCUAGAGUCCGGAAGAGGAGAUUGGAAUUCCUGGUGUAGCGGUGAAAUGCGCAGAUAUCAGGAAGAACACCAAUGGCGAAGGCAGCUCCCUGGGACGGUACUGACGCUGAGACGCGAAAGCGUGGGGAGCGAACAGG
rnacentral:rRNA from 1 species